UUGAACAAUGAUUCUGAGUCGAAUCAACAGUCGUGAAUGUUAUUUUGACAACCAUAAUAUAUUCUACGUAGAGAGUUCUCCAUCGGGAGUGAUUUUAAAUUUGUGAAACCCUUUUCUUUUAACUUUUUUUCAACAUUCCAUUUAGUAGUUUUAACACCUAACCGAGUGUAGAAUCAACACCAGAUUUCUGAGUGUGUGUUCACUCACAAUAUAAUUGUUUCAAAUAAGAUUUUGGUUAUUUUAACUCAGAAUUGAAACUGAGAUAACUACUAAUUGUCUAUUUAAAAUAGAUAUUACGAUCAACAUUUAGUUUUUGUUAAAUUAACAAAAAAUUAGGAGUGGCUGGAAAACGACGUGCAGUUGAGCACAGCAUUGACGCUACCGAGAGUUGAAUCAACCACACUUUUCUAUGCGUGUACAUUUUACCUACCCUAACGGUAUUAUUGUAUCACAAACUCCACGCAAGUCGACAAUGAAUACACUCAUUUUAUUACGCGUUG